UAGACACGCUUCCGAGCGACAUGCUCCUCCUCCGCAACACCCACGCGCGAUUCCUACGGAUCGCGAUCCACAAUCAGCGGGAAAAAAAAAAAAAGCUCGCGCCGCCCCCCCUCGCCACGACUCAUCCUCCUCGUCGCGAAUCCCCUCCGCCGGUCCGCCUCCUCAAUCCACGCGGCACCACACCAUCGGCGCCGCCCUGCACCGCCUGCCGUCGUGCCCCACCAUCGGCGCCGCCCUGCACCGCCUGCGGCACCUACCUCCGCCUGUCUCCUCGCCUCCCGCCCCCCUCGCUCUCCCCAAAACGCCACCGCCUCCAUCCAUGGAAACAGAGGAUACAGGAGCGGAAACCCUAGCCCCUCGUCGUCGUCGUCGUCCUCCUCCUCCUCGCCGUGCCUCCCUGACCUGCCGCCGCUUCCACCACCCUCAAGCACCACCGCCGUCGAAUGAGAUCCCCUCCUCCCUCCAUCGCGCCGAUUCCCGUCCCCACCACGUCGUCAUCUCAGGCACCGACCACCGUUGUUCUUCCGCCAGCAGAUCGCCGCCUCCCCGCGUCAUAUCAAGGGCAUCGUGUCAAGGGUGACGCCUCUCCGUCAUCUCGUCCAUUCCCAUUCUGCUUCGUCAUCGUGAGGUGGUCACACGAUGACCCAUCAAAUCCGUUUCCCGUCCCCACAUCGUCGUCUUAAGUGCCGGGCGCCGCCGUUCCUCCAUGACCGCUGGCCCGUAGCGACACCAGAAAACCCCACUUGAGUCGUCGAUUCGUCGUCGGCAUCUUCUGGCAGCGAUGGUCGACCUCGUGGUCCGUUCUUGAUCCUCAGGUUCGCCUCGCUCCUCACCUAUUCCCCAUUCCCUGGACCCGCACCACCUGCGGCGAUGUGCGAAUUUGAUUGAUGCUGCCUAGAAUUGCCCAUGUAUUUAAAACAGCAGAGCAGAACAUUUCCUUUCUUGUAUUUACGAGAAUAGUGUUAAUAGUGUACCUUGCCAUCCUGAUCGGCUAGAUCCUGCUGCAGUGUUGAGGUGUUGUGGUGUUACUAAUGUGUUCGACUUAAUGCUGCCAAAGAAAUCUAUGAACCAGUCCAAUUUCGUUGCAUGCAUGUAUAAGCUAAAUCACAGGGGAGUGAUGCCUACUCGUGAAGAACUGAUAAGUCUAAGGUGAUACUGCAUUUUGUCAGCAUUGCAUCUCAACUGCGUAUUUUUUAAAGCUUUCAUUUACAUUUAAAUUAUGCAAUUUGCGGCAAUUGUUUGUCAAAUGUUACUAUUAAGCCACUUGACAUUGUUCAAUUUAGGUCUGGGCUUUGUACUGGAUAUGUAUUUUGAUCUCUUCCCCUCAUCUUAAUCUAGCCUUUUCACAUGUGCUAUUUACUGCAGUGUCAUUCCUUCUUUCAAGAUUUCUAUCCUAAGUGCUUCAACUUCAACGUUAACUAUAUGCCACCUCUAACGGCAUCACUGUUCACUGACCAAAAAGUGACUAAUCAAAGUGUUAAAAUUGAGGGAACAAUGGACUCAGUUAUUGUUUCCAAGUGUGAAGUUACAGCUAAACAACAAAGACACACACGUGUUGAAUGUGCUGUUCUAAAUUAAUUUCUUCUGACAGGAUAUAUGAGUUAACAUUUUAGGUACAACAUUCUUACAAAAUUGGAUGUUGAUCUUCUUAUUAUAAUUGGAGUGCAACCUUAACUGUGUGCUACUCCAACCCAUCCACCGCGCCGGCCGCCUCCUCCCCCCACUGCAUCUGCUGUCGCCGCUGCCUUCUCCCGUUGUUCCAAGCCAUGGCAUCAACGGCCUUCCUCAACGCCACACCGCAUCUAUGUCAGUGCUCGUUUCUUGUGGUGAGCGCAUUCCUUCUCGUUCUUAAUUGAACCGAAAAUAGGCAUCAAGAUAAGUUGCACGCUAAUCUGCAAGUUUCUAUCAGAAAGCAUAGAAAUGAAUUUAGAGCUUGAUUUUAGUUAGCAAUUUAGCAUUAUAUGUGAAAAUGCAUUUAGAGCUUGAGUUUAAUUAGCAACUUAGCAUUAUAUGUGAAAAUUUUUAGCAGUUAUAUAAGAUAUAUGAUUGUAAAAACUCCAGCGGCUGCCAGCAGGGAUUUCCAGUGGUAAGUAUUGUUUUGCCAAUUUUGGAUUUUUGGGGCCGAUUUUUAGUAAUUACAUUCAGGUUUUGCCAAAUUAUUCAGGUCUCCACCAUCACUGCCCACUCCUAUGCAUCCUAUCUGGCUGUUGCUACUGUCUGUCAAGAUGAGUUGAAUCAUUUCGCUGCACUUGGUGGUGAUAAUGCUAUAGUGGAGACAGAUUUCCUUAAAAGUGUUUCUGCUAUGUGAUUUAAAGACAUGCACUCAAAUACAGAUAGAAUCAAUGCUAACAAAAGACUCUCUGGUCCUCAAAAAGCAGUUAAAGAUCCUUUGGAACUAUAAGAUAUCGUGUCCAAAUAUACGACAAAUUCCUAACAUUAGUAUAUCAUGUUGAUGAAAACUUGCAUCGUGGAUUAUAUGGCAAGCCUAAUUAUGUUCAUAUGGUUUUCAGUCAGAGAGAAAUCGCUGGAGGGGAUUACAUGAAAGUUUGAGAAUCUAAGGGAAGACCACCUGAGUGCAAAUUUUGCUAGACGCUCAAGCUUUUUGUCGAUAGUUUCUUUACUGAAGUUUGCUCCAUACAUUGGCACGAACUGGAGACGCCAAUAGAGAUUAGCAGGUUCAUUACACGUGAACUCGUGGCAGAAAUUUCUUGAUGGAAAUUUGACAUUUAUCUGAAUAAUUUUUAGCGGCGCACGAAAUUUUCUUAAGUGUAUCGCAAAUGUACAACAUUAGGGUAAUUAUUACCUACAUGGUAUAUCCUAUAUUGUAUCAAAUUUUUUAUUUUUUUCUUUGUUUAUGCUCGCAAAAAAUUAAUAGAAUAACUCUCUCAACAAAUUAAUAGAAUAACUCUCUAUCUUCUAAGAA